GCCGAUGUGGCGGAAUUGGUAGACGCACAUGACUCAAAAUCAUGCGGUUAUCCAUGUGGGUUCGAGUCCCACCAUCGGUACCA
rnacentral:tRNA from 1 species